rnacentral:rRNA from 1 species
GUGCCAGCAGCCGCGGUAAGACGUAGGGUGCAAGCGUUGUCCGGAAUUAUUGGGCGUAAAGAGUUCGUAGGCGGUUUAUCAAGUCUGGUGUUAAAGCCCGAGGCUCAACCUCGGUUCGGCACUGGAUACUAGUAGACUGGAGUACAGUAGAGGCAAGGGGAAUUCCCAGUGUAGCGGUGAAAUGCGUAGAUAUUGGGAGGAACACCAGUGGCGUAAGCGCCUUGCUGGGCUGUUACUGACGCUGAGGAACGAAAGCCAGGGGAGCAAAUGGGAUUAGAUACCCCAGUAGUCCUGGCUGUAAACGAUGGAUACUAGGUGUUGCGGGUAUCGACCCCUGCAGUGCCGCAGCUAACGCAAUAAGUAUCCCGCCUGGGGAGUACGCACGCAAGUGUGAA